ensembl:lncRNA
CUCUCCCAGCCAGGCGGGGGGGAGCGCCAAGUGCAAGCAACCCUGCUUCGGCCAGAGGGAUGGUAUAUAGCCUAGCCUAGCCACGGCCGUGCUAACGGCCAUGAAGGUGAGUGGCUUUGUGGGCAGCCUGCCACUCAGGAGGCAUCCUGUCCCCAGAUGGUCCCUUGCGCCGGUCCCCCCUGGCCCCAUCUUUUGCCGAGCCAUCUGCAAGCAGAAGCUUAAGGCAGCAAUGAGAGACGGAACCCUUUAAACCUGGGACUGGAUGUGGUUGGGUGAAAACAGGUGUCUUCGUGUUCCGUCUGCCGUCGGAGAGGGGACGAUUUACGAGUCUGUUUAUGAAGACGCUGUCAGAGUUGGCACUGCGGUGCAGGGACGCACGCUGGAUAAGAUGACACUCCCGAAAUAUCUCUCCCCUGAACUGGCUCCAGAGAGUGGUCAGUGGGCCUCAGACACUCACACACACACACACACACACACACACACACACACACACACACACACACACACACACAAAGCACACAAAGCACACAAAGCACAGCACAGCUCAGUCAACCAUGGUUGAUUGGUGUGCCAGCCCUGAACUCUCCAGACCACUGUCACCAGUCGGCAAAACCCAGUGUCUGCGAUACACACCCACACCCACAGAUACACACACACACACACACACACACACACACACA